rnacentral:lncRNA from 1 species
GUGCACUAAAAAUACUACAUAAAAUUGCUUCAGGAUAUAUAUGAGGUGUAUAUGAAACAAAUGAGUUAUGUGUUUACACUUAAGUCCCAUCCCCCAAGGUAUCGUCCUUUAUGUAUUCAUAUAUAGCUGGUGGGAGUGAAAAACAGUACAGCCAGGGCUGGGGUUGUGGCUCAGUGGUAGAGUGCUCGCCUUGCAUGUGCGAGACCCUGGGUUCGAUCCUCAGCACCACAUAAAAAGAAAUAAAGGUAUUGUGUCCAACUACAAACUAAAAAAUAAAUAUUAAAAAAAAAAAACAAACAUUACAGCCACCUUUGGAAAAAAUCCUGGAGUUCCUCAAAAGUUUAAACAUAGUUACCAUAUGACCCAACAGUAAGACUCCUAGGUGUAUUAUCCAAGAGAAAUUGAAAUGUGUCCAUACAAAACAAAACCUUGUAGCAUGUUCACAGCACCAUCAAAUAAUAAUAGCCCCAAAGUGGAAACAGACAAAAUGUCCAUCAACUGAUGAGUGGGUAAACAAAUGAGGCACAUCAAUACAGUGGAAUAUUAUUCAGUCAUGGUAGAAGUGUAAAGGCAGAAAAUAGUGGUUCCCCUGGGAUGAUGGAGAAGUGACAUGAUUUCUGGGUUUCUUUUGGGGGUGGUAGUUGCACAAUUCUGAAUAUGCUAAAAACCACAGAAUUGUAGUCUCAUAGGCAACUUAUAUGUGCCAGGUGUGGUGGCAGACCCCUGUAAUCCCAGUGGUUUAGAGGUUGAAGUAGCAGGAUUGCAAGUUCAAAGCCAGUCUUGGCAAUUUAGCAAGGCCCUAAGGAACUUAGGAGGACCCUUUCUCAAAAAGGGCCUGGGAAUGUGGCUCAGUG